UACGGAGGGGGCUAGCGUUGUUCGGAAUUACUGGGCGUAAAGCGCACGUAGGCGGAACAGAAAGUCAGAGGUGAAAUCCCAGGGCUCAACCUUGGAACUGCCUUUGAAACUCCUGUUCUUGAGGUCGAGAGAGGUGAGCGGAAUUCCGAGUGUAGAGGUGAAAUUCGUAGAUAUUCGGAGGAACACCAGUGGCGAAGGCGGCUCACUGGCUCGAUACUGACGCUGAGGUGCGAAAGCGUGGGGAGCAAACAGG
rnacentral:rRNA from 1 species